rnacentral:rRNA from 1 species
UACGGAGGGGGCUAGCGUUGUUCGGAAUUACUGGGCGUAAAGCGCACGUAGGCGGCUUUACAAGUCAGAGGUGAAAGCCCGGGGCUCAACUCCGGAACUGCCUUUGAGACUGUAUCGCUUGAACACGGGAGAGGUGAGUGGAAUUCCGAGUGUGAGAGGUAGAAAGUUCGUAAUUAUCGGAAGAACACCAGUGGCGAAGGCGGCUCACUGGACCGGUUGUUGACGCUGGAGGUGCGAA